GACGAACGCUGGCGGCGUGCUUAACACAUGCAAGUCGAGCGGUAAGGCCCUUUCAGGGGUACACGAGCGGCGAACGGGUGAGUAAUACGUGAGAAAGCUGCCCGACGCUGGGGGAAAACUGCCGGAAACGGUGGCUAUACCCGGAGAGGCCUUCCUCACACAGGUGGGGUGGGGGAGAGCCCUCGGGUGUGGUGGGGUCGGCUCUGGGUCUAUCAGCUUGUGGGGGGGGUGAUGGCCUACCAAGGCAUCGGCAGGUAGCCGGCCUGGGGGGGUGACCGGCCACACUGGGACUGCGACAGGGCCCAGUGUGCUACGGGAGGCAGCAGUGGGGAAUAUUGGCCAACGGGCGAAAGCCUGAUCCAGCGACGCCGCGUGAGGGAUGCCGGCCUUCGGGUUGUAAACCGCUUUCGCCUGAGACGAAGCGGUAGUGACGGUAGCAGGUAAAGAAGCACCGGCCAACUACGUG
rnacentral:rRNA from 1 species